AAAUAAACCAGAACAGGGGAGAUACCAAGGUCACCAAGUUGGUUUUCCCCAGUGAGGAUCAUCCAUUGCUCUCCGGAUGUGCUGACCCCUGCAGUUUCCCCAAAUGUUGGAAACUCACUGCAUAAUUUGUGGUAGCAGGGGAUUGUGUUUGCACUCUAGACUGA